UACAGAGGAGCCAAGCGUUGUCCGGAUUGACUGGGCGUAAAGCGCACGCAGGCGGCUUUGUAAGUUAGAGGUGAAAGCCCGGAGCUCAACUCCGGAACUGCCUUUAAAACUGCAUCGCUUGAAUCCAGGAGAGGUGAGUGGAAUUCCUGGUGUAGAGGUGAAAUUCGUAGAUAUCAGGAGGAACACCAGUGGCGAAGGCGGCUUCCUGGACACCAACUGACGCUGAGACGCGAAAGCGUGGGGAGCAAACAGG
rnacentral:rRNA from 1 species